rnacentral:rRNA from 1 species
AGUGAACGCUGGCGGUAGGCCUAACACAUGCAAGUCGAACGGCAGCACAGUAAGAGCUUGCUCUUACGGGUGGCGAGUGGCGGACGGGUGAGGAAUACAUCGGAAUCUACUUUUUCGUGGGGGAUAACGUAGGGAAACUUACGCUAAUACCGCAUACGACCUACGGGUGAAAGCAGGGGAUCUUCGGACCUUGCGCGAUUGAAUGAGCCGAUGUCGGAUUAGCUAGUUGGCGGGGUAAAGGCCCACCAAGGCGACGAUCCGUAGCUGGUCUGAGAGGAUGAUUAGCCAAACCUGAAACGAGACAAGGGCCAGACUCCCUAGGGAGGCAGCAGUGGGGAAUAUUGGACAAAGGGCGCAAGCCUGAUCCAGCCAUACCGCGUGGGUGAAGAAGGCCUUCGGGUUGUAAAGCCCUUUUGUUGGGAAAGAAAAGCAGCAGGUUAAUACCCCGCUGUUCUGACGGUACCCAAAGAAUAAGCACCGGCUAACUUCGUG